UACGUAGGGGGCAAGCGUUAUCCGGAAUUACUGGGUGUAAAGGGAGCGUAGACGGUAAUGUAAGUCUGGAGUGGAAGGCGGGGGCCCGACCCCCGGACUGCUCUGGAAACUAUGUUACUAGAGUGCAGGAGAGGUAAGCGGAAUUCCUAGUGUAGCGGUGAAAUGCGUAGAUAUUAGGAGGAACACCAGUGGCGAAGGCGGCUUACUGGACUGUAACUGACGUUGAGGCUCGAAAGCGUGGGGAGCAAACAGG
rnacentral:rRNA from 1 species